rnacentral:rRNA from 1 species
UACGUAGGGGGCAAGCGUUGUCCGGAAUCAUUGGGCGUAAAGCGCGUGUAGGCGGUUCGGUAAGUCAGCUGUGAAAGUCCAGGGCUCAACCCUGGAAAGCCGGUUGAUACUGUCGGGCUAGAGUGCGGAAGAGGCGAGUGGAAUUCCUGGUGUAGCGGUGAAAUGCGCAGAUAUCAGGAGGAACACCAAUUGCGAAGGCAGCUCGCUGGGACGUUACUGACGCUGAGACGCGAAAGCGUGGGAGCAAACAGG